rnacentral:tRNA from 2 species
AAUGAUAUAGUUUAUUUAGAACUUUGAGUUUGCGUCUCAAGAGUAGAAAUUUAUUCUUAUUGUUA